GUUUACAGCCAUGCCACCCUGAACAAGCUAAGCAGGGUCGGGCCUGGUUAGUACUUGGAUGAGAGACCACCUAGGAAGAACAAGUGCUUAUAGGCG
rnacentral:rRNA from 1 species